rnacentral:rRNA from 1 species
UACGUAGGGCGCAAGCGUUAUCCGGAAUUAUUGGGCGUAAAGAGCUCGUAGGCGGUCUGUCGCGUCUGCUGUGAAAAUCAGGGCUCAACCCUGGACCUGCAGUGGGUACGGGCAGACUAGAGUGCGGUAGGGGAGAUCGGAAUUCCCGGUGUAGAGGUGAAAUUCGUAGAUAUCGGGAGGAACACCGGUGGCGAAGGCGGCGACCUGGGUAGAUACUGACGCUGAGGUGCGAAAGCGUGGGGAGCAAACAGG